rfam:Ferroglobus placidus DSM 10642, complete genome.
GGGCCCGUGGCUCAGCCUGGAUAGAGCGACGGCCUUCUAAGCCGUAGAUCCCGGGUUCAAAUCCCGGCGGGUCCG